CGAGCCGGGCGGACGGCCGCGUGGAGUUCCCUUCGGGGGCUUCCCGAGGAACGUCCGGGCUCCACAGGGCAGGGUGGUGGCUAACGGCCACCCGGGGUGACCCGCGGGACAGUGCCACAGAGAACAGACCGCCGGGACGUACCCGUACGACCCGGUAAGGGUGAAACGGUGGUGUAAGAGACCACCAGCGCCUGAGGUGACUCAGGCGGCUAGGUAAACCCCACCCGGAGCAAGGUCAAAAGGGGCCGCGGAUGCGGCUCUGCGCGGAUGCACGAGGGCUGCCCGCCCGAGUCCGCGGGUAGACCGCACGAGGCCGGUGGCAACACCGGCCCUAGAUGGAUGGCCGUCUCCCCGGGCGCCGCGAGGCACCCGGGCGACAGAACCCGGCGUACAGCCCGACUCGUCUG
rnacentral:RNase_P_RNA from 2 species